AUUGAACGCUGGCGGCAGGCCUAACACAUGCAAGUCGAACGAGUGGCGGACGGGUGAGUAAUGUCUGGGAAACUGCCCGAUGGAGGGGGGUAACUACUGGAAACGGUAGCUAAUACCGCAUACCAUCGGAUGUGCCCAGAUGGGAGUAGCUAGUAGGUGGGGUAACGGCUCACCUAGGCGACGAUCCCUAGCUGGUCUGAGAGGAUGACCCGCCACACUGGAACUGAGCCACGGUCCAGACUCCUACGUGAGGCAGCAGUGGCGAAUAUUGCCCGAUGGGCGCUAGCCUGAUGCAGCCAUGCCGCGUGUAUGAAGAAGGCCUUCGGGUUGUAAAGUACUUUCAGCGAGGAGGCGUUACUCGCAGAAGAAGCACCGGCUAACUCCGUGCCAGCAGCCGCGGUAAUUC
rnacentral:rRNA from 1 species